rnacentral:rRNA from 1 species
AAUCAACGCUGGCGGCGCGCUUAACACAUGCAAGUCGCACGAGAAAGGGGGCAACCCUGAGUACAGUGGCGUACGGGUGAGUAACACGUGGAUCAUCUACCUUUUAGUGGGGAAUACCCCUGGGAAACCGGGGACAAUACCGCAUAAGCCCGCAAGGGGAAAGCAGCAAUGCGCUGAAAGAGGAGUCCGCGGCGGAUUAGCUAGUUGGCGGGGUAAUGGCCCACCAAGGCGAAGAUCGGUAGCCGGCCUGAGAGGGCACACGGCCACACUGGCACUGAAAUACGGGCUAGACUCCUACGGGAGGCAGCAGUGGGGAAUCUUGCACAAUGGAGGCAACUCUGAUGCAGCGACGCCGCGGGAGCGAUGAAGCCCUUCGGGGUGUAAAGCUCUUUCGACGGGAACGAUAAUGACGGUACCCGGAGAAGAAGCUGCGGCUAACUACGUGCCAGCAGCCGCCGUAA